CCGCCGCGAGGGCUCCGACAUCAUCUACCCGGCCAAAAUCAGCCUCCGCGAGGCGCUGUGCGGGUGCACGGUGAACACGCCGACGCUGGACGGCCGCACCAUCCCCAUGGUCUUCAAGGACGUGCUGAAGCCCGGCGUCAAGCGGCGCAUCCCCGGCGAGGGGCUCCCGUACCCCAAAACCCCCGAGCAGCGCGGGGACCUCAUCAUCGAGUUCGAGGUCCGCUUCCCCGACAGGAUCCCCCCCUCCUCGAAGCCCAUCCUGGAGCAGAUCCUGCCCGUCUAGCGCCCGCCGUGCGGACUCGGGGGAGGGUUUUGGGGGGGGGUUCCCUUUUUUGUCAUCGCUUCGGGGUGGAGGGGUUCCGCCUUUUGUUUUGGGACCGGAGCGGGAGUUCGGGGUGCCCCCGGCGGAGAGGGGGCGCCGGGGGGGCACCGUUUGGCUGCGGGGGUGUGUGUGGGGGGGCGGCUGAGCCCCCAAAAGGAGCCCCCGGGGUGCACCCGGCUCCUGGCCGCGCGUGGGGACCUCGGCGCGGCCUCCUGGUGACCGGCUGGGGGUGAUGAGGGGCUCGCCGGGGGCUGGGGACCACCGCGGGGCCUCGCCCCGAGCACCUGUGGACCUCCUCGUGUCCCCCUCCCCACCAUCGGGGGGGGGGGCAAGGACCUCGCUGUGGCCUCACCGCCACCACCUGGGGGGACAGGGACCGCGCCGGGACUUCUUCGCCGUCAUCUCCACGUGCUGGGACCACGUCCUGUCCUGCUCCCUGCCAUUUGUGGGGGACAGGAACCUCGCUGUGACGUCUUCGCCGUCAUCUCCACGUUUUGGGACCACACCUUGUCGUCCUCCCCAUCAUUUGUGGGGGACAGGGACCGCGCCGGGACUUCUUCGCUGUCAUCUCCGCAUCCUGGGACCACGUCCUGUCCUCACCGCCACCACCUGGGGGGACAGGGACCGCGCUGUGACUUCUUCAGCACCAUCUCCGCGUUCUGGGACCGCGUCCUGUCCUGCUCACCAUCGUUUCUGGGUGACAGGGACCGCGCUGUGACUUCACCUCCACGUUCUGGGACCACGCCAUGUUCUCCUCCCCAUCAUUUGUGGGUGACAGGAACCACGCCGUGACUUCUUCGCCAUCAUCUCCACAUCCUGGGACCACGUCCUGUCCUCCUCCCCGCCACCUGGGGGUGACAAGGACCUCGCCGUGGCCUCACCACGAUGACCUUCAGGAGCUGGGGACCACCGCGGGGCCUGGCCACGUGCUGGGACCUCCUCGUGUCCUCACUGCCACCUCCUGGGGGGGGACAGGGACCUCACCGUGACCCCCCCCGGGACCUCCUCGCUGCCACCUCCGCGGGCCGGGACCACGAGGUGGCCUCCACCGCGCUGUCACUUCCCCGGGGCCGCCUGGGGGUGGCGGGGACACUUCUGGGACCCCCCCCGAUGCCACCUGGGGGGGGACAGGACCCCCGCCACCCCCCCCAGUCGUGCUCAGGACCGCGCUGCCCCUUCCUCAUCUCGCU
rnacentral:lncRNA from 1 species